UACGUAGGGCGCAAGCGUUGUCCGGAAUUAUUGGGCGUAAAGAGCUCGUAGGUGGUUUGUUACGUCUGCUGUGAAAACCUAGGGCUUAACCCUGGGCCUGCAGUGGAUACGGGCAGACUAGAGGUAGGUAGGGGAGAAUGGAAUUCCCGGUGUAGCGGUGAAAUGCGCAGAUAUCGGGAGGAACACCGGUGGCGAAGGCGGUUCUCUGGGCCUUACCUGACACUGAGGAGCGAAA
rnacentral:rRNA from 1 species